rnacentral:rRNA from 1 species
AUUGAACGCUGGCGGCAGGCCUAACACAUGCAAGUCGAGCGGAUGAAGGGAGCUUGCUCCUGGAUUCAGCGGCGGACGGGUGAGUAAUGCCUAGGAAUCUGCCUGGUAGUGGGGGAUAACUUCCGGAAACGGGCGCUAAUACCGCAUACGUCCUGAGGGAGAAAGUGGGGGAUCUUCGGACCUCCCGCUAUCAGAUGAGCCUAGGUCGGAUUAGCUAGUUGGUGGGGUAAAGGCCUACCAAGGCGACGAUCCGUAACUGGUCUGAGAGGAUGAUCAGUCACACUGGAACUGAGACACGGUCCAGACUCCUACGGGAGGCAGCAGUGGGGAAUAUUGGACAAUGGGCGAAAGCCUGAUCCAGCCAUGCCGCGUGUGUGAAGAAGGUCUUCGGAUUGUAAAGCACUUUAAGUUGGGAGGAAGGGCAGUAAGUUAAUACCUUGCUGUUUUGACGUUACCAACAGAAUAAGCACCGGCUAACUUCGUG